rnacentral:rRNA from 1 species
UACGUAGGGACCAAGCGUUUGUCCGGAAUCAUUGGGCGUAAAGCGCGCGUAGGCGGCCCGGUAAGUCCGUUGUAAAAGUCGAAGGCUCAACCCUCGAAAGCCGAUGGAUACUGCCGGGCUAGAGUACGGAAGAGGCGAGUAGAAUUCCUGGUGUAGCGGUGGAAUGCGCAGAUAUCAGGAGGAAUACCCAUAGCGAAGGCAGCUCGCUGGGACGUUACUGACGCUGAGGCGCGAAAGCGUGGGGAGCGAACAGG